rnacentral:snRNA from 1 species
AAGGUUGGCAGCAUUUUCGAAAACGACCAAGACAAGACCCAGGCGGCAAUAGCGAAACUCAUAGAUAGCGCCGACAUCGGGACGGGCCAGCUCCGCCUCGACGUCGUCCUCAAGUUCUUCGGAGAAAUCG